CGAGGAGCAUCGGUUUCAGUGAAAGUUUUAUAUGCAUGGAUUUCAUCUCAAGUUGAAGCUCAUUUACAGGUGAAGCAUGUCCUGUCCCAGGCUGAGAACAUAGAGAUGGCACACCUGCUUGUCAAGAUUCUAAUGUCCCACUUCCAGGAACAUGAAGAUGGACUGGUUUUGCAUGCAGACGUUGCUGCAUCUGCAUCUGAUGUUGAGAAGACACUCAAUCUGCCUGCCAGUCCUCGUCUGAUUUUGCUGGGUAUGGCAGAGCCGGCAAAUGCUGUAUGGUAG